rnacentral:rRNA from 1 species
UACGGGGGGAGCAAGCGUUGUUCGGAUUUACUGGGCGUAAAGGGCGCGUAGGUGGCCCGGUGAGUCUUUGGUGAAAGCGCGGGGCUCAACCCUGCGUCGGCCAGGGAUACUGCCGCGGCUCGAGCACUGUAGAGGCAGGCGGAAUUCCGGGUGUAGCGGUGGAAUGCGUAGAGAUCCGGAGGAAGACCGGUGGCGAAGGCGGUCUGCUGGGCAGUUUCUGACACUGAGGCGCGACAGCGUGGGGAGCAAACAGG